rnacentral:rRNA from 1 species
UACGGAGGGUGCGAGCGUUGUCCGGAAUCACUGGGCGUAAAGGGCGCGUAGGUGGCUCGUGAAGCGUGCGGUGAAAGUCCGAGGCUCAACCUCGGAUCGGCCGUGCGGACUCGCGGGCUCGAGCGUUGUAGAGGCGGGUGGAAUUCCGGGUGUAGCGGUGGAAUGCGUAGAGAUCUGGAGGAAUACCGAUGGCGAAGGCAGCCAGCUGGCCUAACACUGACGCUGAGGUGCGAAAGCAUGGGGAGCAAACAGG